GCGAUCGCUGCGCGGCCGGCUGGCACUCGCGUCGCCGCCUCGGGCAGCUGGCCAGCCUCGGGCCACGAGGCCCCUCCUCCUGGAGGACACUGAAGCGUAAGACGCAGCAGCAGCAGCAGCAGCAGACCUGGCGUCCUGGUGCCUCCUGGCCCCUCAGCAUCAGUGAUUCACACCAGCCUGGAAAAAGAUCGGCUGGGCUCGAUGACUCACUCACGGCGGGCGGAGGGUCCCACAGGGCCCGAGUCCUCACACUCAGCUGAGGAGCCGGGAGACUGACGACAGGUCCCAAGGCUCCCACAGAGUCUUUGCUGCUUGCCUGGCACUUCCCCUCCCCUCUCCUCCUGCAAGCUGCCUGCACACGAGGAGACGUUGAGGUCGGCGAGAGGGGCUGCAGAGAGAGGACAGGCCCGGCGGAGAGCUGGAGGUGAAGACGGGCCAGCGUGAGGGCCAGGGCCUGCCGCCAGGCCUGCCCCGCUGGCCACCAGCCCUCCCGCCCCCAGGUCCGCUGUGGCUGGAGUCGGGGUCGGCCACCUUCGGCCCUGCCUCGCUCCGGCCCAGGAACCCCCCGGCCACGGCACGGCGGCCGUCCUCUCCUACCAGAGCUUUCCGGGAGCUCUGACGCCGAGGCCACAGCCCCUGCUCCCGCCCGCAGCCCCAGGCCCGCAGCCUCAGCAGUGCCCCGAAGCCUUUGCCCCUGGGGCUUAAGCGGGCUCUCUGCCAGGCCCCGCCAUUGCCAGGGUCCGGACCCCCACCUCUCCAAACACCAGCACCCCGGUGCAGACUGGCCACUCAGGUCUGUAGCCCCAGCAGGCCCUGGCUGGGGGUCCUCCUUUCCACCUGUCCAGUGGGGGUUCCCAGGUUCAGAAGACUGGUGUCUGCAGAAGAUUCUGUCAACCCCGACAUCAUGCACUCCUGCCAGCACCCCCAGAUUUUAUUUUUGCACAUAAGCCAUAACCCACACUCACAAGCUGGCAGGGGCUGCAGGGAGGCCCCAGGGUCCUCAAGAGGGUGUGGCCAGCCCUCCCUGUCCCCAGUGGAUCAGGCCUUGAUGUCAGGCCAAGCUGUGUGCAGCCCCCUGUCACCUUCCCUGAAGACAGACUUUUUAAGUUUUUGUUAAUAAAACACUGAAACUUC